rnacentral:rRNA from 1 species
CAGUAGCCGCGGGAAUACAGAGGGUGCAAGCGUUAAUCGGAAUUACUGGGCGUAAAGCGCGCGUAGGUGGUUUGUUAAGUUGGAUGUGAAAUCCCCGGGCUCAACCUGGGAACUGCAUCCAAAACUGGCAAGCUAGAGUAUGGUAGAGGGUGGUGGAAUUUCCUGUGUAGCGGUGAAAUGCGUAGAUAUAGGAAGGAACACCAGUGGCGAAGGCGACCACCUGGACUGAUACUGACACUGAGGUGCGAAAGCGUGGGGAGCAAACAGGAUUAGAUACCCCAGUAGUCCCUGUCUCUUAUAA